rnacentral:lncRNA from 1 species
UUUGGGGCUGGGGCCUCCGGGGAGGUUCCGGUACGGGGGUUGGAGAGGCCGCUCUUUUUGCGAGGCCUGAGACGGCGGGCCCUGUGCAGGCUGCCCUAUUCCGCGCCCUCAGGGCGUCAGUAUCCGCCUGAGGCCGGAUGCCACCGCUGGGCCUGGAGCAUCCUCGGCGCUGCCCUCCCAGAGCCCCGCAGAGGCUGAGGUGGCGCGGGGGGGAGGCCGGCUCCGGGAGAAGCGGCGGCAGCGAGGGCUUGAGGACCCGGGCUCCGGGGCUCCGGGGCGUCUGGCCUGGGUGGGACUGAGCCCAUCCAGGGACUGGGACUCCGGGGUUGUGGUGUAGGUGGAUCCGGGGCAGGCUCAGGACCAAGUCCCACUCCUUCCACCAAGGAGCGCCCAGAGGCCGGCGGCAGCUCCAGGUUCACCUCCUCCUCCUCCAGGCCAUUUCCAAUCCAGAGGAAGACCUUCUAAAAGAGGUGAUGGAUGGGAGAGUGCUGACAUACUAUGUGAAGCUACUAUUUGGAGUUGGACACGAGUGCAUGUGACCUUGUGCCACAGCGGCAAUCUUGACUACCACACAAAUGAAUCCAUUCAAAUGUUGGCAAGUGGAGCAGAGUCCCAGGACAGGAGGCGCUCGGAAACCACCGUGAAUUGGACCGCACUGGGAAGCACAGAUGAAGAAAUUCAGCACCGCUUUGUCCUUCAGUGCCUGGCUGCUUUUUCAGCUCGUCUUGCGACUCCAGAAACUCCUGGAGGGCAGAGGCAGGCCUGCCAUCUUCAUCAUUGCAUUACCACCACCCAACACUAUCGGGGGACCUGCCCUGAUAAUCAGUCUACAGGUGUAUUCAGCAGCUCCAGAGAGACAGCGACCAGCGAGAAGGGGCCAUGAUGAUGGUGGUGGUUUUGUCAAAACGAAAAUGGGGAUAUGUAGGGAAAAGAAAGAGAGAUCAGACUGUUACUGUGUCUACAUAGAAAGGGAAGACAUAAGAGACUCCAUUUUGGAAAAGACCUGUACUUUAAAGAAUUGCUUUGCUGAGAUGUUGUUAAUCUGUAGCUUUGCCCCAGCCACUUUGCCCCAACCACUUUGACCCAAUCUGGAGCUCACAAAAACAUGUGUUGUAUGAAAUCAAGGUUUAAGGCAUGUAGGGCUGUGCAGGAUGUGUCUUGUUAACCAAAUGUUUGCAAGCAGUAUACUUGGUAAAAGUCAUCACCAUUCUCUCGUCUCAAUAAACCAGGGUCACAAUGCACUGUGGAAAGCCGCAGGGACCUCUGCCCUUGAAAGCUGGGUAUUGUCCAAAGUCUCUCCCCAUGUGAUAGUCUGAAAUAUGGCCUCGUGGGAUGAGAAAGACCUGACGGUCCCCCAGCGCGACACCCAUAAAAGGUCUGUGCUGAGGUGGAUUAGUCAAAGAGGAAAGACUCUUGCCGUUGAGAUAGAGGAAGGCCACUGUCUCCUGACUGCCCCUGGGAACUGAAUGUCUCGGUAUAAAACACGAUUGUACAUUUGUUCAAUUCUGAGAUGGGAGAAAAACCGCCCUAUGGUGGGAGGCGAGACAUGUUUACAGCAAUGCCGCCUUGUUAUUCUUUACUCCACUGAGAUGUUUGAGUGGAGAGAAACAUAAAUCUGGCUUACAUGCACGUCCAGUCAUAGUACCUUCCCUUGAACUCCAUUAUGACAUAGAUUCUAUUGCUCACAUGUUUGUUGCUGACUUUCUCCUUAUUAUCACCCUGCCCUCCUACUACAUUCCUUUUUGCUGAAAUAAUGAAGAUAAUAAUCAAUAAAAAACUGAGGGAACUCAGAGGCUGGUGCCAGUGCAGGUCCUUAGUAUGCUAAGCGCCGGUCCCCUGGGCCCACUGUUGUUUCUCUAUACUUUGUCUCUGUGUCUGAUUUCUUUUCUGUCUCUCAUCCCACCCGACAAGAAAUACCCACAGGUGUGGAGGGGCAGGCCACCCCUUCAGUAGGAGAUUACAGGCAUGAAUAACCCCACCUGGCCACCUAACUCACUCUUGAAAGGCCAG